GCCACGCGCGCACUCAUAGCGCGAGCGCACACACACUCUCACUCACACACUCAUCUCGCACGCACCCACCGCACGUACACGCGCGCACAAGACUUGGUGCGCGCACACUGCUCGUCACACGCAGGCAACGCAGUCGCGCGCAGCACUCGCACUCGCACGCACGCACUCUGAGCAGCCGCGAUGCUCCCAUCCUCCCACCCCUCUCUGCCCGAGCAGCAUCAUCGGGAGAGAUGGCAGCCGACAGACGCUCCCCCUCGCCGAUCAAUCGCCGCCGCCGCCGCUCAUCUGCGUUGCGCCGACCGCAUUGGGAACACGCCACUGCGCUCGCUCGCUCCGCCUGUGUGCAGGAGGGCGCAGCGGUUUCUGCCAGGACAGCCGGCGAAUCCAGCAGCCGCCUGGGAACGAUGCGGAGACGUCGCCUGCCGUGCCGCAAGCACCGACGUCACAACGAAAACUCCGAAAACUCCGAGGUCGAGCGCCUGGAAAUGGCUUAAUUGCCAGACCUGGGCUUAAUAAAUACACUUUGGCGAAUCACCUGCGAUAACGGCUCUGAAUGCUUCACCGUUGGCUGACAUUCCGCCAUCUCUCUCCCGUGUCACCAUCUCUCCAUAGAGCCGCCACCUCUCUCCAGUGUCGCCAUGUCACCACGUCAACUCAAAUAUACUUUAGAGGAGAGAUUCGCUUUGCAGAUGUGCGACGGCGAUGAAACGGUGUCGCUGCCCUUUCAUCAAAGCAACGGCGACUCUGAGUGGACAGAAAUUCAUCCAGCGUGACGACGACUAUGACUACCCAGCAAAGAUCAGAGUGCGACUGACUGUGACUAGAUGAACUUAACGAGUCUGAAUGAACAUACAGACCGCACCUAUGAUUAGCACAGUUGACUACAUAUGGAGCAAAAGAGGUUCAAAACGCAUACAUACAUUAUAAUUAGAGACUGUAAUGCAAUGAGGAAGACCGAGCGUGGUAAUUGGCUGUACAUAUACAGUAUAUAUAUUUUCAUUAUGGAUGAAAAUAUAUAUUGAGUCCACUGAUUGGCUCACGUUCUGAAACUUGUAGUGGGGAAGGAGGGGGGGUUAUGCGGUCUUCACAUCAACACUAAAUAACUCAAAGCAUGUGACUUAAUGUGAGACGCCGCUUUAGCCGACGCGACAAAGAGGAUGAGUCCACGACAUGGCAGGCUCUCGACGAGUGAGAAGCAAGGUAAGAAUGAAAGCGACGCGCGCGUGAAAGGUUCAUCUGCAGCCUGGAUACAAUCUACCCACGGAUAAUGGAGUGAGGCAGCAAUGACGAUGGGCCAACGAGGGCACCACCAACACCAACGAAGGCAAAUGCGGGACGGCUUCGUCGUUUGCGCGGAAACGCCACGCCGCGUCUGGUUGCAAAACGUUUCAGUCUGUCCCAGGCCCACACACAAGAGGGCCCCGCCAAGAGAUGGCCCUGUGGAUGGUAAACAAGUAGACCCCCCCAUAUGGCCUUGUGCGCCCCGAGUCUCCAGGAAUAUCUGAGCGGCCGUGUCUCGGUGCUGGGUCAAUUCCAUCAGAUUGGUGGCUCGCGAGAUUCGCCCGCCGAUGCGCCCGUGGUGUUGUGUGACCUUCGUGAAUAUGAGAUUACGCGACGCAAUUGAGAAAUGUGAAGCGUAAAAACAUACGAGCACAUCCCACCACACCCCGCGAUUCACUUGGCUCCUUGCCUGGCUGCGAGUCAAGGAUGUUUGUGCAGGAAUUGUGCAUAUGCAGCCCCAAAAGUCAAAUAUUCCGUCAUAUAGCCUCAACAGACUAUUUGGAUCAAGCGUUGUUAGCGAGUAGCGCCUAUGCAGGCUGGCACGGCACGCGAGGGGGUGGGUGGCCAGCACCACACCCGGCCGCCUUUAUCUCCCCAGUGGCGGUGUUUAUACACCACACGGGGAAUUCAUCGACCUAUGCACACCAACACACCCACGCACUUGCACACAUGAGUUCAAACUGCAGCCAGUUCAUCCGCAAGUGUUCGAGCGCCGUGCGAACUUAAUCAUUCACAGCUUACAAGAGGUAACAUUUUAAUACAUCCCCUGCCAUGAUCUUGAUGCAUCCACUGCUGGAUGAAGGCAUCACCAAAGCCGUCUCGCCAUCUCUCUCAACCUCACAAAAUCCUGCGCUGCAAACCAUCGUAUCUAGCCCCUGCACACGAGAUGAUUUUCAUUGCUCCGUCCCCGUGAUGGACGUGCCCCAGGGGCACGCUCGCGUUUCCUGCCCUCGGGGCGUGCUCGCGUUUCGUGCCGCGCGUGCUCCGAAGUGAACACGGACGUCGGUGACGACAGCCGCUCCACGAGUUGACUGAGUUUGUCGACCGCGAGACUCGUCGUCCGUUAAUUACUGAACGAAAACAACAAAAAAACCACCCGCCGCACUGCGAUUCGUUAAUUUACCAAUCGUGUUUUAUAAAGAACAAAAAAACCAAGAAAUUAAUUAAACAUUUUAAUUUUUGCUCAUUAGCAAUGUGACAGUUGAAAAGGCUAAAUCGGAUCUCCCCUUAAAGGUUGGCAAUGGCAAGACAAUUGUAAUUUGAAAUAUUUUUUUGGCAAGUUGAGAAAAAUUAAUGUGCAAGCACUGCUCCGUGCAACUAAUUAAGAGCCUAAUGAAUGUGAAAUUGUCAGUGCUAAUUGUUGCCAGAACCCUACAGGAGGUGACAUAUAUUAACUUAUCCAUGUCACACGUUAAUUAUUCUCUGUCUAUUCUUUCAUUAGCUCCCGUUCUCUGACAUCAAUUUCCUUAAAUCAUGGCUAGUGAAGUCAAUUUACAUUUAAGUGCAUAAUGAAACCGGCACUCUUGAGCACACACCGCGUGCCGAUGUGACAGUCUUGUCUGGGAACGUAUCGCUCGCGUUCAGAUCAGAUCCACCGCGCAAGACACCGCCGCAAUGACCCUGCCUCGAGUGUUCACCUUGAGGGCUGCUGCAAGGGGCAGCAGCAGCAGCUCCAGCAGCAGCCGCCCGGCCAACGUCCACGCGAUGGCCUCCGCACUCAGAGGGGACACCCAGAUCACGAAGCAUGCGCCAAAGCCUCGGCUCUCUCGCCACCCACCGCUACGCGAAGCACAUGUUGCAAGAAUUUCCGGCCCUCAGCUGGGCAGCAGCAGCAGCAACAACAGCAGGAGGCCUACAUUGAGAAAACCUCACACAUCGAAACACACGUACACUAAAGAUGAAGAAGAAUGCGUCCAUGUGGUAUCAUGACAUACAGUUAACAAAUUGGUAUCGUCUGCCGGUAGGAGUGCAUUGUUGCUAUUUGGUUUUACCCAAUUAGAUCAAUUAAGUUACUUGUUGGGUAACUUUCAAAUAUGGACCGUGAUGCCGGCGGCAGACACGGCCUAUACCACGUCUGUCUGCUGCGAAGCAGAGGCGGUGUGCAGUGUUCUUGAGCUACACCUGCGGCAACAUCAGGCGGAGGGGGCCUUGUGGCUGUUGAGGGCUGCUGUGCGACGCGUCGAACAAGCAGGCCAAGAGCGGGCAACUUUGGCCACCGACAUGUGGCACCGGCGAGAGAUGCUGGGAUUGAUGGGGGUGGGGAGCCUUCUCAGUCAGUGCCUUCAGACACCGAUAAUUUAACCAUGCAGGUUUACGGUUCUUGCCACGAAAUCUUUAGCUAUCCAAUGUGAAAUGUGAAUUCUUUGGCAUGAUGUCUGACGUUUCGCCCCACGUCCUGGUAGCAUCUUCAGGAACUGAAUGUGGAUUUUCAUGGUUGUGCUGCAUAGCUAAAUUAAGUUCCUGUAGGAGCUCCGAGUAUUUGGAGCCAAACGUCGAACAUCGUGCCGAGCAACGUGUGGUGCAACCAGAAAAAAAACUUCUCAGUGCUAUCCAGCACAACCGUGAAAAUUUCCGAAGGUAAAACAAGAUUUGGGAUUCCAUUUAUUUCUCCACGUGCCCCCAUUAUGGUUUAACGACACUAUCUUAUUUUAACCUUUAUUACAUUUAACUUUCCGAAGGAUUCGGUUACAAGAGAGGUACCAUUUGUUGUUGUUGUUGUUGAAUUGUGUUAAGAGAAUAAUGUUACGUUGCAUGCUCAUGCAAAAGCAGAUAUAAUUACCUGCUAGAUUCCCACCAGAAAUAAAAUGCAAGAAAAUC